rnacentral:tRNA from 1 species
GGUUUGUGGCUCAGUGGUAUAGCACAUGCCUAGCAUGUGUGAGGCACUGGGUUCAAUUCUCAGCACCA